CCUACGUGGGGCAGCAGUGAGGAAUAUUGGUCAAUGGCCGGAAGGCUGAACCAGCCAAGCCGCGUGAAGGACGAAGGUGCCAAGCAUUGUAAACUUCUUUUGUCAAGGGACAAAAUCAGGCUCGAGAGCCUGACCGAGGGUACUUGAAGAAAAAGCAUCGGCUAACUCCGUGCCAGCAGCCGCGGUACUACGGAGGAUGCGAGCUGUAUCUGGAUUUAUUGGGUUUAAAGGGUGCGUCGGCGGGCUGUUACGUCAGCGGUAAAAGCCCGGGGCUCAACCCCGGCGAGCCGUUGAAACUGGCUGUCUUGAGAUGGCGAGAGGUAUGCGGAAUGCGCAGUGUAGCGGUGAAAUGCUUAGAUAUUGCGCAGAACUCCGAUUGCGAAGGCAGCAUACCGGCGCUCAACUGACGCUCAUGCACGAAAGUGUGGGUAUCGAACAGGAUUAGAUACCCGGGUAGUC
rnacentral:rRNA from 1 species